rnacentral:Y_RNA from 1 species
AAUUGGUCCAAAGUCUGUGGGUUAUUGUUAGACUGUUUAACAUUGUCUCCCCCCACACCCCUGCUUGACUAGUUUUUA